AACUCCCAAACCCAUGUGAACAUACCUUACGUUGCCUCGGCAGGACGUGCCUACCCCGUAGCGUCUUACCCUGUAGGACCUACCCGGGAAGGCCGGGUAACCCUGCCAAUGGCCCACGAAACUCUGUUUAGCAUUGAAUUCUGAACUUAUAACUAAAUAAAGUUAAAACUUUCAACAACGGAUCUCUUGGUUCUGGCAUCGAUGAAGAACGCAGCGAAAUGCGAUAAGUAAUGUGAAUUGCAGAAUUCAGUGAAUCAUCGAAUCUUUGAACGCACAUUGCGCCCAUUAGUAUUCUAGUGGGCAUGCCUGUUCGAGCGUCAUUUCAACCCUUAAGCCCUCGUUGCUUAGUGUUGGGAGCCUACGGUGCUGUAGCUCCUCAAAGUUAGUGGCGGAGUCGGUUCACACUCUAGACGUAGUAAAUUUUCACCUCGCCUGUAGUUGGACCGGUCCCUUGCCGUAAAACACUUUAAUUAUCUCAAGGUUGACCUCGGAUCAGGUAGGAAUACCCGCUGAACUUAAGCAUAUCAAUAAGCGGAGGAAAAGAAACCAACAGGGAUUGCCCUAGUAACGGCGAGUGAAGCGGCAAUAGCUCAAAUUUGAAAUCUGGCCUUCGGGUCCGAGUUGUAAUUUGUAGAGGAUGCUUUUGGCGCGGUGCCUUCCGAGUUCCCUGGAACGGGACGCCUUAGAGGGUGAGAGCCCCGUACGGUUGGACACCAAGCCUCUGUAAAGCUCCUUCGACGAGUCGAGUAGUUUGGGAAUGCUGCUCUAAAUGGGAGGUAAAUUUCUUCUAAAGCUAAAUAUUGGCCAGAGACCGAUAGCGCACAAGUAGAGUGAUCGAAAGAUGAAAAGCACUUUGAAAAGAGGGUUAAAUAGCACGUGAAAUUGUUGAAAGGGAAGCGUUUGCGACCAGACCUUUUCCUAGCGGAUCAUCCGGUGUUCUUCACCGGUGCACUUCGCUAGGUCGAGGCCAGCAUCGGUUUCUGUAGGGGGAUAAAAGCUUAGGGAACGUAGCUCCUUCGGGAGUGUUAUAGCCCUUUGCAUAAUACCUUUACGGGGACCGAGGACCGC
rnacentral:rRNA from 1 species